rnacentral:lncRNA from 1 species
GAGGAGUGGUGAGUUGCUACUUAUAAGGAUAUGAGGGUGACAUGGAUUUCCGCAAUAAAUAUUCUUAGCCAAAGAUUUCGAUUUCUAACUCACAUCAUUCGCACGCAAAAUCGUCUCCGAGUCUUACGGGCUGGGUGGCUACCUGUUGGGUUCAAAAAUGGUUAUUUCGAAAUAAACGGCUAUGAUUAUUUCUUAUUCACGGAUUUUUCG